AUUGAACGCUGGCGGAAUGCUUUACACAUGCAAGUCGAACGGCAGCACGGACUUCGGUCUGGUGGCGAGUGUCGAACGGGUGAGUAAUGUAUCGGAACGCGCCCAGUCGUGGGGGAUAACGUAGUGAAAAUUACGCUAAUACCGCAUACGAUCUAUGGAUGAAAGCGGGGGAUCGCAAGACCUCGCGCGAUUGGAGCGGCCGAUAUCAGAUUAGAUAGUUGGUGGGGUAAAGGCCCACCAAGCCAACGAUCUGUAGCUGGUCUGAGAGGACGACCAGCCACACUGGAACUGAGACACGGUCCAGACUCCUACGGGAGGCAGCAGUGGGGAAUUUUGGACAAUGGGCGAAAGCCUGAUCCAGCCAUUCCGCGUGCAGGAUGAAGGCCCUCGGGUUGUAAACUGCUUUUGUACAGAACGAAAAGGUUUCUACUAAUACUAGGAGCUCAUGACGGUACUGUAAGAAUAAGCACCGGCUAACUACGUGCCAGCCGCCGCCGUAA
rnacentral:rRNA from 1 species